AGGUAGAGACCUCUGACUCGUGUUCCUACCCGAACCACAAAACUGUUAUGAGCAGUCUCUGGUCAGCAGAAGGCCAGAGUGCUGUUCGAUGUAAAGUUGCUCAAGUUUAUCACCAAUCCAUGCGAUCGGUAUUGGUGAUCGGUGAUCGGCAGCAAUAAACCUGAUUGGAGCAUCCCUACUCUCUAGUAGGAAUGAAUGCUUUGUAAGUCAUUCUUGGGAGGAGAAAAUACACCGGUGGACCAUUUCUCAAACCUAAAAGUUGCCCACAUCAAACCUGAGCUGCUCCAAAGCUCUGGAAUGUUCUUCCUCUCUCUAUAGUUUGGCCUCCGCAACGUUUCAAGUCCAGCCUCAAAACAUAUUUGUUUAGAUGGGCUUCAGUUAUUUUGAAGCUGGUUUACUUUAUAGUGCUUCCUAGAUUUAUAUAAAUAUUUGACCAUAAGCCACUAAUCGUUUACCAUGACUACAUCCUAUUUUAGUGUUAUGCAUUAUGCGUUAUGCUUUUAGUCUUGCUGCUCUGCCUUGUCUAUUUUUUAGUUGUUAUUCCUUUCUUGUUCAGCACUGGUGGGCUCUCAUGCUGUUUUAAGUGUGCUUUAGAAAUAAAUUUGAUUUUGAUGGCAGGUUUUAAAGUCUUAUUUCCUGAUAUUUGGAAAUCUCACCCCGGAUUGGAUAACAACAACACGACUCUACCACUGACUAGCAACAUGAAUGUUUUAUUUCCACAAAUAACACAAGCCUGGGGGAGCUUCUGCUGUGUGGUGGUGUUUCUAAUGCUAAUGGUUAGCUUAAACUAGCUGAGACGUUCUCUGCUGAUUCCCAGACGUUACACCAACAACAGCCGUUCUUGUCAUGAGGCAAGAAUGGUGAGUCCAUGAAUGCUAAUUCUCAGAGCAACGUAGAUCUGUGAGGAUUUCCAAAUCCUAGAGUUUCACCAGCUAUUUGCUAUCAGAAGCUAAUGCAGGAGAUAGGUGUAGGAGACUAUUUUCAUGUUUAGUGUGUGUGAAAAACUCAGAGUGACCAAUUAUAAUCAGAAAAAACAUUCAAAAAUGGUUUUUCAGUCAUCCACGCUUUUAAGUAUUCAACAUGACACCUCACUGCAGGACACGGAGCAGAAAAGCACUCUGAUAGUGUCACAACGCGCAGGUGGGUUGACUCGGAGGUGAGGAUCCACACGCUGGGGAAGAAGGCCGGCAGGCAGGCAGGCAGGCAGGCAGGCAGGCAGGCAGGGAUGGUUUAGCAAGGUUUUUAAUAUAAAACGCGCUGGACAUAAAAAAUGAACCGACAAGACACAGAACUGAGGGGUUAAAUACAUGAGGAGCUGGGAGCUUGGGUGAUUGGAAAACGAGAGGCAGGUGGGAGUAAUCAGGAGACGCAGGACUGAACAGAGUGGGGAGACAGGACAGGUGUGACAGAUAGCUCUUAGCAAAUCUUAUUUUUCUCCCUAAAUACUUUAAUUUCUCUCAUCUGCAGUUCAACCACAGGCUGUUGCUAAUUAUCCUUCAGUUGCAAAUGAUCUGUUGAACAGUCCGAGUAUUUCAAAUCAUCACUGCAAAUGGAAAUGCUCACCAAGUCGGCCAGUAAAUGGAUCAUCCUCAUUUGCAUCACAAUUUAUUUCAAACACUUUUUGAUAAAAACUAAUCAGUUUUGGAUUUUAGAAGCACACAUGAAGAAUUCAUGGAUGACCAUUUAUUUGUUUAUAGAAAGGCAAGGCAGCUUUAUUUAUAUAGCACAUUUCAAUGUGCUUUACAAUUAGCACGAAAAGGCACGACAAUAAACAGAAGAACACAAACUAAGAAGAAGAAGAAAAUAUCAUUUCUAUAGCGCCUCUCAAGAUAAAAAUCACGAGGCGUUUAACAAAAACAAAAACAAAAAAUAUAAAAAUUGUAAAAAUAGAAAAAAAGCAUUUUGAAAAUGUUUAAAAAUAUAUUUAAAAUGAGCAAGAAUAAGCAAUUGCAAUUUAAAAGAAAAAAUGUUAAGAAAGAGAGAGAGUGAACAGGAAAGAGGGAAAUCAGUGGAUCCUGAGGAAGGUGGAAUAGGUGGGGAGAGCAGAAUAAAGAGAGAGAGGUGAAGAAGGUCAUACAAAAGCCAGCUUGAACAAGUGAGUCUUCAGCUGCUUUUUGAAGGAGACCACUGAGUCCACUGAUCUCAGGCUCAGGGGGAGAGAGUUCCAGAGUCUGGGGGCCACAGCAGCAGAUGAUCUGUCACCUUUGGUCUUUAGCCUGGUGCCGCACAACCAGUAGGCUUUGAACUAAGCAUAUACACAGAAAAAAUUAUAACUCAGAGCUAAAAGGAUAAGACAGAAUUAAGGCUGAGCAAUUACAUCACAGAUUACAGUUGAGAUGAUGCAUCAUAAGAAACAGUUCAUUCAAAGGUUGAUGAGUACAUUAGGGUUUUAAGUUUUGACUUAAACAACACUAGCAUUGGGGCAGAUCUGAGGUCCUGGGGAAGCUGAUUCCAUAAGUGAGCAGCAUAUUAGCUAAAAGCAUCUUCACCCUGUUUGGUUCUGACCCAAGGUUCUACCAGCUGAUUGUUACCUAAUGAUCUCAGAGCCCUAUUACUGGGAUGAGAUCUGAAAUGUAUUUUGGCCCCACGCCGUUGAGUGAUUUAUAAACUAGUAGGAUCACUUUGAAAUCUAUUCUGUGGUUUACUGGUAACCAGUGUAGAGAUCUAAGAACAGGAGUGAUGUGCUCCAUUCUCUUAGCUCUUGUUAAGACUCUAGCAGCAGCAUUCUGAACAAGCUGCAGUUGCUUCACAGCAUUUUUGGGAAGACCAGUUAGGAGGCCAUUGCAAUAGUCCAGCCGACAAGAAAUAAAAGCAUGAAUGAGUUUCUCUAAGUCUGGUCUGGACAUGAGACCUCUGACUCUUGCUAUUUGAUGAAGGUGAAAAAAAAAGCUGAUUUAGUUAUAGCCUUAAUAUGUCCAGUGAAGCUCAGGUCUGCUUUAACAAAACAACAAAACAGGCGAUUCCAUCCACAAGUUGGAAAUGAUGAAAACAAAAGUGAGACGUUCGGUUUUCCAGUUCAGUUUCAUUUAUAAAGCACCUUCCACAACCUUUUCCAAAGCCCAAGGUGCUGAAAAUCAUCAUAAAAGACACGUUAAUAACAAAACACAAGAUCAUAAAACAGUAAAAAGCAACAGAGAAAAGCAAUCGCAAAAACAGAUGAGGACAAUCUGAUAGAAACAAGAGAACAUAUUAACAAACUCCACAUCGCGAUGUUGAUGGACGUUAUUCUGUCUUUAAUAACAAUAGGUGUAUUAUUACUUUUAUUCAUUUGAAUCUAAGUGUACUUUUUCCAUGAAUGAAAACCUCACUCCAAGAAAGGAGGAUGAAACCAACACGAGCUUCAUAGAACACCUGGAGAUGUUUGAUAGAAGGAAAGUUAGGUGUAAAAAGACUCCUUCACUACGUAUGACCAAGGCAUUUGCUGUCUGCUGUAGAGGACGUUUUAGAGCGCCACGUAAAAAUAGUUUCAUGCUCCACAGAGGCCAGAAUCUCCAGAGGAUGUAAAAGAACUAUAAGAGGACACAAACGAGCGAGAACAAGAGUCCUACUAAAGUUUCAGAUGAGGCGGAGCCUGCUGCUCUAGCCCAUUUCCCUCAGUGUUUCUGCUCUGUGCUCCGAGGGGUCGUUGAAACGGGUCACUUCGAAACGUGCUCCUCUUCAUGACUGACUCAGAUGUUCCUUAUCACAGUCUCUGGACUCAGGUUUCUUCAGACAGACACAUUUAUUGUCACUUCACAUUUAUAAAGUCAGAUGAAAUCAGUUUGAUAUCCCUGAAGAUCAAAAUGAGAUCCUGGCUCACAGCGGGGGUGGGGUGACCAUGUUUCCUGUUUAAAGUAACACCACUGCUCAGUUCCUGAACUUCAGAUGGUUCCCACCUCCGCCUGUCAUAAACACCUGUCAUGUCACAACUCUCUAAGGUUGUGUCAUUUUCUUUCAUUCUUCGCAUUAAUUAAAUGUUUAUUAGACAAUUAUUCUGUGAAUUAUCAAUAUAGUCAGAAACAUUUUUGAUCACAAAAACUAGACUUUUAUAUUGAAAGUGACAUUUUUUUUGCUUUCAGAUCUGAUGGACUCUCUUCACCCGUUUUAGAUUAGUGGUCAAAAAGGGUUUUUGUGGGUUUUUUGCAACCAGUGUUGCUGCAUCAAUAAUAUAUAUAUAGUUUCAUGAUCCCACAUUUGUCAUGAUAAUAAGCAGCUAAAAGAUUUUUGAACAAACUCUUUAACAGCUUCAUGUUGGAGACACCAAGAUUAGGUCUGACCAGAUUUACAGGCUAACAGCCAAUGUCAGUGCGGUCAGCUCUUAAGUGGACGACAGCCAUCUUAAAUCU